rnacentral:rRNA from 1 species
GACGAACGCUGGCGGCGUGCUUAACACAUGCAAGUCGAACGGAAAGGCCCUGCUUUUGUGGGGUGCUCGAGUGGCGAACGGGUGAGUAACACGUGAGUAACCUGCCCUUGACUUUGGGAUAACUUCAGGAAACUGGGGCUAAUACAGGAUAGGAGCUCCUGCUGCAUGGUGGGGGUUGGAAAGUUUCGGCGGUUGGGGAUGGACUAGCGGCUUAUCAGCUUGUUGGUGGGGUAGUGGCUUACCAAGGCUUUGACGGGUAGCCGGCCUGAGAGGGUGACCGGCCACAUUGGGACUGAGAUACGGCCCAGACUCCUACGGGAGGCAGCAGUGGGGAAUAUUGCACAAUGGGCGGAAGCCUGAUGCAGCAACGCCGCGUGCGUGAUGACGGCCUUCGGGUUGUAAACCGCUUUCGCCUGUGACGAAGCGUGAGUGACGGUAAUGGGUAAAGAAGCACCGGCUAACUACGUG